UGAGCAUGUGUAUAUGUUCUUUUUUUCUAAAUGAAAAUCCAUGAUCAAACUUUAAACAAAUGAAAUCCCUACAAAUUAACUUUUGAAAACCAAAGUGAAAAUGUUAAAAACCUAGUCGAAACUGAAACUGGUGUCAACGAUUAACGUCUUUUAGUGAGUCGAUUGCUUCGCUUACUAAGUGGUUUUCUUUCAACACAAUUUUGUUAGACGAAAUACCCACUGAGGAAUGCACUUACCUUCAGGUGUGAUAAUAACGGGUGACGGGGAAUCAGGGUUCGAUUCCGGAGGGGGAGCCUGAGAAAUGGCCACUACAUCCAAGGACGGCAGCAGGCGCGAAAAUUACUCACUCCCGGCCCGGGCAGGUAGUGACGAAAAUUACGAAUACGGGACUCAAUUGAGGCUCCGUAAUUCGAAUGAGUACAAUUGAAAUCCUUUAACGAGGACUAAUCGGAGGGCAAGUCUGGUGUCAACAGCCGCGGUAACUCCAGCUCCAAAAGCGUAUAUUAAGUUGCUGCAGUUAAAAAGCUCGUAGUUGAAACUGGGUUGUGCGGUCGCAUGCCAUUGCUUGUUCGCGGUUUUGGUUAAGAUCAGAACUUGUGUUCGGCUCGGUGUAGUGGGCGUGCAGCCUAUCAGCCGUAUCUAUGUAAACGAGUGCUGACGGAGAUGGGUGAGCUUGUCUUGCCCGCUAUCUGUUGGCAUACUUCCAGGUGUCGGGAGCGGACGGCGUCUUUACUUUGCACAAAUUUGAGUGCUCAAGGCAGGCCUUUGUGCCUAGAAAUUCUUGCAUGGAAUAAUGAAAGAAGACUUCAGUUCUAUAUGGUUGGUUUUCGGAUCCGAAGUAAUGGUUAGGAGGGACAGACGGGGGCAUUUGUAUGGCUUUGUUAGAGGUGAAAUACUGGGAUCAACGCCAGACAAACUACAACGAAAGUAUUUGCCAAGAAUGUUUUCAUUGAUCAGGGGCGAAAGUCAGUUUCGAAGACGAACAGAUACCGUCGUAGUUCUGACCAUAAACGAUGCUAACUGACGAUCCGCGAUGAUUCUACAACUGACACUGCGGGCAGUCACCGGGAAACCUUUAAGUCUUUGGACUCCG
rnacentral:ncRNA from 1 species